UGGCCACAUUACAUUGAAACAUUGGUUCCCAUACGAUCACCAAAGUUAAGGAACAUCAAGCCUAGUCAGUACCUAGGUGGGUGACUGCUUGGAAAUACCAGGUGCAGUAAG